rnacentral:rRNA from 1 species
AGUGAACGCUGGCGGUAGGCCUAACACAUGCAAGUCGAACGGCAGCACAGUAAGAGCUUGCUCUUACGGGUGGCGAGUGGCGGACGGGUGAGGAAUACAUCGGAAUCUACUUUUUCGUGGGGGAUAACGUAGGGAAACUUACGCUAAUACCGCAUACGCCCUACGGGUGAAAGCAGGGGAUCUUCGGACCUUGCGCGAUUGAAUGAGCCGAUGUCGGAUUAGCUAGUUGGCGGGGUAAAGGCCCACCAAGGCGACGAUCGGUAGCUGGUCUGAGAGGAUGGUCGGCCACACUGGAACUGAGACACGGUCCAGACUCCUACGGGAGGCAGCAGUGGGGAAUAUUGGACAAUGGGCGCAAGCCUGAUCCAGCCAUACCGCGUGGGUGAAGAAGGCCUUCGGGUUGUAAAGCCCUUUUGUUGGGAAAGAAAAGCAGCAGGUUAAUACCCCGCUGUUCUGACGGUACCCAAUGAAUAAGCACCGGCUAACUUCGUG